rnacentral:ncRNA from 1 species
ACGGGGUGCCUUGCAUUCGAAACCGAAUGUCCUGGCUGAGAGGCGUCGAACGCCAACCCGCGGAACCUGAUCCGGUUAAGACCGGCGGAGGGAUUAGAC